UUCAAACUUUUAAAAUGAGAGUUUGAUCCUGGCUCAGGAUGAACGCUGGCGGCGUGCCUAAUACAUGCAAGUCGUACGCUAGCCGUUAACCUGAUCUCUUCGGAGUGACGGCUGACAAUGACUAGAGUGGCGAACGGGUGAGUAACACGUAAGAAACCUGCCCUUUAGUGGGGGAUAACAUUUGGAAACAGAUGCUAAUACCGCGUAACAACUUUGAACUCAUGUUCUUAGUUUAAAAGGUCCUUUUGGAUCGCUAAAGGAUGGUCUUGCGGCGUAUUAGCUAGUUGGUAGGGUAAUGGCCUACCAAGGCCAUGAUGCGUAGCCGAGUUGAGAGACUGGCCGGCCACAUUGGGACUGAGACACUGCCCAAACUCCUACGGGAGGCUGCAGUAGGGAAUUUUCCGCAAUGCACGAAAGUGUGACGGAGCGACGCCGCGUGUGUGAUGAAGGCUUUCGGGUCGUAAAGCACUGUUGUAAGGGAAGAAUGACCGGAUUCAGAGAAAGUUUCCGGCUUGACGGUACCUUACCAGAAAGGGAUGGCUAAAUACGUGCCAGCAGCCGCGGUAAUACGUAUGUCCCGAGCGUUAUCCGGAUUUAUUGGGCGUAAAGCGAGCGCAGACGGUUGAUUAAGUCUGAUGUGAAAUCCCGGAGCCUAACUCCGGAACUGCAUUGGAAACUGGUUUACUUGAGUGCGAUAGAGGCAAGUGGAACUCCAUGUGUAGCGGUGAAAUGCGUAGAUAUGUGGAAGAACACCAGUGGCGAAGGCGGCUUGCUAGAUCGUAACUGACGUUGAGGCUCGAAAGUAUGGGUAGCAAACGGGAUUAGAUACCCCGGUAGUCCAUACCGUAAACGAUGGGUGCUAGUUGUUAAGAGGUUUCCGCCUCCUAGUGACGUAGCUAACGCAUUAAGCACCCCGCCUGAGGAGUACGGCCGCAAGGCUAAAACUUAAAGGAAUUGACGGGGACCCGCACAAGCGGUGGAGCAUGUGGUUUAAUUCGAAGAUACGCGAAAAACCUUACCAGGCCUUGACAUACCAAUGACCGCUUUUGUAAUGAAAGCUUUUCUUCGGAACAUUGGAUACAGGUGGUGCAUGGUCGUCGUCAGCUCGUGUCGUGAGAUGUUGGGUUAAGUCCCGCAACGAGCGCAACCCUUGUUAUUAGUUGCCAGCAUUCAGUUGGGCACUCUAAUGAGACUGCCGGUGAUAAACCGGAGGAAGGUGGGGACGACGUCAGAUCAUCAUGCCCCUUAUGGCCUGGGCAACACACGUGCUACAAUGGGAAGUACAACGAGUUGCGAACCGGUGACGGCAAGCUAAUCUCUUAAAACUUCUCUCAGUUCGGACUGGAGUCUGCAACUCGACUCCACGAAGGCGGAAUCGCUAGUAAUCGCGAAUCAGCAUGUCGCGGUGAAUACGUUCCCGGGUCUUGUACACACCGCCCGUCAAAUCAUGGGAGUCGGAAGUACCCAAAGUCGCUUGGCUAACUUUUAGAGGCCGGUGCCUAAGGUAAGAUCGAUGACUGGGAUUAAGUCGUAACAAGGUAGCCGUAGGAGAACCUGCGGCUGGAUCACCUCCUUUCUA
rnacentral:rRNA from 1 species